AUUAGUGAGAGAGAGGUGAAAUUGAGGAAAGAAAAGAAUUCAUCUCAUCAUCUCAGCACGGCGUUAGUUGCUCUUCAUCCCGAGACUGAUCGGAGAGGCACACAGAGAAAGAAGUGGGAGAGGGAUCUGGGUUUUGACUACAGCCCCAAAUUUCUAAUCGAAGAGGCACACAGACUAAAGUUUGGAUUCUGGACGGUUGAUUGAAAAAAUUACAAGGUUGUUGAUAACUUGCUUCAUGAAGCCACUAGGAAUCUAGAAAGUUUGAUAUUUUUCCCCCAGACCCUUAGAAGCAAGAAAGAUAUUCAAGGGAGGCUUGACAAAGAAGUUCUUUGCUUUGCUCAACUCACCAGCAUUGGUAAGUACUCAUUGAAUUGAGUCACGAUCCUCUUUAAUAUUUUCAUUUUCAUUUCAAUCCUUAUGA